AUGACCCUGUGAUGACCGAUAAUCUUGAAUAAUUCAACCGGACACUACACAAUAGGGAGCUCGGGUCUAGUAGUGUAUGGCACGCCUCUUUUCUAAAGAGGAAGUCAGAAGCUAUUAGCAGAGCACCCACUUGCGAGCGCAGCGGGUAUGAAUUAGAAAGAUUGACGGCAUCUUGGGGUGUGU
rnacentral:other from 1 species